rnacentral:rRNA from 1 species
UACGUAGGGUGCAAGCGUUGUCCGGAAUCAUUGGGCGUAAAGAGCUCGUAGGCGGUUUGUCGCGUCUGCUGUGAAAUCCCAGGGCUUAACCCUGGGCCUGCAGUGGGUACGGGCAAACUAGAGUGCGGUAGGGGAGAUCGGAAUUCCUGGUGUAGCGGUGAAAUGCGCAGAUAUCAGGAGGAACACCGGUGGCGAAGGCGGAUCUCUGGGCCGUAACUGACGCUGAGGAGCGAAAGCAUGGGUAGCGAACAGG